AGCGAACGCUGGCGGCAGGCCUAACACAUGCAAGUCGAACGAAGUCUUCGGACUUAGUGGCGGACGGGUGAGUAACACGUGGGAACGUGCCUUUAGGUUCGGAAUAACUCAGGGAAACUUGUGCUAAUACCGAAUGUGCCCUUCGGGGGAAAGAUUUAUCGCCUUUAGAGCGGCCCGCGUCUGAUUAGCUAGUUGGGGAGGUAAAGGCUCACCAAGGCUACGAUCAGUAGCUGGUCUGUGAGGAUGACCAGCCACAUUGGGACUGAGCCACGGCCCAAACUCCUACGGGAGGCAGCAGUGGGGAAUCUUGCGCAAUGGGCGAAAGCCUGACGCAGCCAUGCCGCGUGGAUAAUGAAGGUCUUAGGAUUGUAAAAUCCUUUCACCGGUGAAGAUAAUGACUGUAGCCGGAGAAGAAGCCCCGGCUAACUUCGUGCCAGCCGCCGCCGUAAAAC
rnacentral:rRNA from 1 species